UUAUGUAUACAAUGUAUAUGUAUAUAAAGAACCUUAGACUCCAUUGAGGGUUUCCAGUGUGUAGACCUGUGUUCUAAAUUCCCUACUAGAAUUUCCACUUGCCCAUUUGCUAAGGGUGAGGAAUUAUUCCAGCUUAGCCAAUGGGAAAAGAACACUGUUUUUACUGGUUUCAUUACCUUGGUGCUGCGCAGAAGGAUUUCCAUAGCACUGGUGAGGGUGUGGCCCUGAUUGGAGAGAGGCCUGGAAGGUUUCCAUGCCAGCGGAGGGAUUGGAGAAAGACUUGGAAAAACAAUGCCGACCAUUGUUUCCUUAGCCUGCUUUGGCUCCCCUCAGUCUGCUCUGUGAAGACACUGAAUCCAUUGACUAAGUCACUGACAUUUUCCUAGCAGAGGCUUGCAGCGAUUGCUCACAUGAACUGAUCUGAUACCAAGUGGAAGUGACCUGCUCUCAGGCUCAGCACUUAAAGAAGCUUCUGAUGAACACAUCCCUGCCCAAUAAGAAGUUCCAGAAGGAAUUAAAACCAAAACUUAAAUGUUGAAAAGAAAGAGAUCAUCAGUAGCCACCAAAGAAGGUGUGUUGAAGGUGUCCAGAGUGGCAUGGGUCUGGUUCACAGCAGAACUACCACCUUUGGAUGUGGCAGAGAGCAAGAUAUACACUUUCUAUAACUCUAAAGAAUAAUCAAGGGAGUCACAGUGAAUCACAAGACUGCAAAUUCCUCGAGAGGUACAUGAAGCAGUGGAAAUAUGUUUGCACUGGAGUCAAACAGCCAUGGCUUGGAAGUCCAACUCUUCAUCUUCCAGCUCUGUGACCUUGCGAAGUUACUUAAUUUUAAAUGAAAUAAUGUAAUAAAGCACUUAACACAAUAGCUAUUAUUAUUGUUACUAUCUUUUUAUUCCUAAAGAUCUUAGUAACGCUUUGAAGAUCAUCACUUUUUCGAAAAUAUGUGUUGGCUGAUUUUUAUUUCAUUGAUCAAACUGUCUAAAUCCAGUCAUGUUAAUAUUUGGCACUAUUAGAAAGUAACUCA
rnacentral:lncRNA from 10 species